UACGUAGGGUGCGAGCGUUAAUCGGAAUUACUGGGCGUAAAGCGUGCGCAGGCGGUUCGUUAAGUCAGAUGUGAAAGCCCCGGGCUCAACCUGGGAACUGCAUUUGAAACUGGCGGGCUUGAGUGUGGCAGAGGGGGGUGGAAUUCCGCGUGUAGCAGUGGAAUGCGUAGAGAUGCGGAGGAACACCGAUGGCGAAGGCAGCCCCCUGGGCCACUACUGACGCUGAGAAGCGAAAGCAUGGGGAGCGAACAGG
rnacentral:rRNA from 1 species